ACAGGAGACCAAUAGCGAACAAGUACCGUGAGGGAAAGAUGAAAAGCAGUCUAAAAAGGCGUACAGGGUACAAGUAAAGAAGUGGAUUCGAAGGGGCAUUCUCCAAUUUAGUUUCCAUAAUUUUUUUGGUUGCCGAAGCUGAUUAACCAUUUUGAAUAUCUGCACGUGAAGAGCACGGUAAUUCCGCCUUGAGCACUGUAUUCUGAUACAAACCACGUCUCGAGUCCUUUGGCCCUUUUCGUACCACUGAAACGACAGUAUUUUAUCUGAA
rnacentral:rRNA from 1 species